UCACAGAUGCCCCCCCGCAGCAGCCCCUAUCUACAACCUUCGCCCGUUCACUCGAAGGGGCCCAAGGAACAAGAGGUUCCACGGACAGUUAAGCAGUUCUGUGGCUCAUCCCUUCACCAGAGAGGUAAUUCUCCUGCCAGACCAUACAUAUACAGAUGUGCCAAGGCGUGCCAGGAAAGCUUGGCUUUUUGAAAAUGGACAUAUAAAAUCUGCCUUGGAAUUUGGCUGUGACUGGGACUCCGACAAAGUAAUGCAGGCAAUUAUGGCGGCCUUCCAGCCAAUUGUGGAGGGAUGCAGGUUACAGAUCUUGAUGCCAUGCCACAACAAACUACUUGAGCCAUCCCUUACCUCCAAUCAGACUUUGAGUGGAGCCCUUGUCAAAAAACUGUUUCAUCAGAAGUCCAUUUAUGUCAGGCCUGACAAGGUCAUUUUAAGUGAGGAAAAAGAAUCCUCAUGUUCUGAUGAGGACGGUAGCCAUACAAACAGCCGUGAUGUCUCAGAAAUAUCG